rfam:Variovorax paradoxus strain TBEA6 VPARA_contig000026, whole genome shotgun sequence.
GAAGCACGCCAGACCGCCGCUGGUGCAAGCCCGAAAGGGGCGACGCCGCAAGGCGCCGCGUCGAAAGACCGCACUGGAGGAACGUCCGGACUGCACAGGACAGCGCAGGAGUUAACGACUCUCCACCGUGAGGUGAGGAUCAGAGCAACAGAGACGAGCCGAUUGAGUUCGGGUGAAACGGGCAAUCUCUGCGCGCAGCAACACCAAGUAGGCCAGUAUCGAGGUGGUUCCGCUGAGCUGGCGGGUAGGUGGCAUCGAGCCGUUUGGCGACAAGCGGCCCAGAGUAAUGGCGGUCACGUUGGGGGCAACCCCAACGCACAGAAUCCGGCUUAUCGGCGGGCUUCACAC